UAAAGAAAGCGGAAAGAACUCUCCCACGAGCGCCCGCCGACGCCACGUAGCCGCCGGCCCACCGACGCCGCCGCCCCACAGCCGACGCCGCCGCCAUACAGCCGCCGCCCCACCGCCCCGCAGCUGCCGCCCCACCGCCCCGCAGCUGCCGCCCCGCCGACGCCGCCGCCCCUCCCCCCGUCGCGAGUCGCCGCCCGUCGGCUCGUCGGCCCGUCGCGGGGUCUCAGCACGAGGGCGGGCGCCUCGGAGCUGCAGCCGACGCCUGAUUCCUGACCAAGGACUUCUCCUCGGCCAUGUCUGUUGCGCCAUCGCUCUCUUCACCGGCUGGAUCGGAGUCGCAGCCACCACAGAUGGAUCGGAGUCCGCAGCCGCCGCUCUCGUCUCCCGCGGGAUCGGACGCAAUUCGUCAAGCUUCCAAGUGAUCAGAAGCUACCAUCUCUUUAUCCGCUCGACAGUAUAGUCAAGAAUAUUGGAAAAUAUUAUCACCGCUUGUAUUAAACAGUUAUUGCUUGACAAUAUAGUCUCUCCAUACUCUUUCUUACUCCUGGAUAAGUUUCUCUUUAUGAAUGUACAAGUGAGUUCUUGUGAUAAACCAUAUUCAUGACGAAGAUAAUGAACUAGUUUAUUUUUAUGA